rnacentral:lncRNA from 1 species
AUGACUCCUCUCUUCUCUUUCCCUACAGCUUCCUGUUUUGGUUUGAUGUUCAGUAUUGGAUUCAUAGACGGAUUCUAUUUUGUUAUUACUACACAAACAGAUCCAAUAAAAUACAUAACUGGACUGGUUGUAAGUUUUGUAGCUCUGCUUGUGCUUGUGCUUUUUAAGGAGCGGUGUGGUCUCUGGGGAGCACGUGCAUCUUUGUGUCACAGACUUGCUCUUGUGGCUUUGCUGACAGUUCUAAUCACAUUCAGCUUGCUUUGGCUGAACGAGGCUCCAGAGAGUGACAGAGGGCGACUCGGACGGAUGUGUGAAUCAGCAUUUCUUAUCAUUCUGUUUGGUCUGGAAACAGUUGAACCUCUCAGCAAAAUCUCUGGUAAAGUAUAAUAUAUUGAGCUCUGUGCACUGGUCACUGGUACAGUACAGUGUGUUGAGCUCUGUGCUCUGGUGACUGGUACAGUACAGUGUGUUGAGCUUUGUGUUCUGGUGACUGGUACAGUACUCUGUGCUCUGUUCACUGGUACAGUACAGUGUGUUGAGCUUUGUGUUCUGGUCACUGGUACAGUACAGUGUGUUGAGCUUUGUGUUCUGGUCACUGGUACAGUACAGUGUGUUGA